rnacentral:lncRNA from 1 species
AAAGCAGUGAAAUGGCGGACGGACAGAGCUGGAUGAUGACUACCAUUAAACUAAAAGAAGAAGAGGAAAAGGAACAAAUAUUAUUGAGGGAAGUGAAGCUGAGUAUGAGUAAGACGGACAGUGAUGAUGAUGAUGAUGAAGGCUGCAGGAGGAAAGCUGUGCUGGAGGAGCUUCGUCAUCCCGACCAUGUGUGGGACGGAAUGUUUGCUCCAAAGAUGGAGAAAAGCGGAGAAGAAGAAACGGAGGAGUUUUCAGAUGUGUGCUCUGUGAAGGAAGAGCAAUGCAUGUCUAAACGUUUUGAUGGAUCACAACAAGCUUUGGAUCUGAACAGUAUUCACACAGACACAGGUAACCACACCACAUCUUUUGGCCUUAGAUUAUUCACAAUGUUGACCACUUCCUUUGACAUCUCAAAGGAAACACCUUGGAUUGUGAAUGUGUUGUUUUAUAUAGUGGAAGUAUUUAUCAAUCACUGCUUUUUAAAACACAAUCUAAAUGGUUUGUGUUACUGGGUUAACAGGCUGGAAGCACCAGGUGAUACUUUUAUAUACAGUUUACAUUUUUAGUGGUUAGAAUUAUUAUUCAUUGAUUACAGUUGGUUUCAUAAUGUAUUAUUAUUAUUACUUAAAAUGUGGUUUAAAUAUUUAAGAUCUUCAGAAUUGUGUUGUUUCAUGAUGACCUUGUGGAUUCUUUCAUAAGUGGACGUGAAUGUUGAAACUUUUAUCUGUUUAACAGACUUGGUUUGCGUCCGCCUCCACUCACAGUCUGGUGUUGGCCUAAAACAAGCCUCUUGUUUUCAUUGAAGUGGAGAGUUUGGCUAAUAUGUUAAACUGCAGAUGUAAAUGUGAUUGGAUGGAAGGUUGAAGCUCCGCCUUUGCCUGAAAAAUGAUCAAGAAAAUCCCUUGAAAAUCCUGUGAUGGUUGUGAUCAGUACACAAAGCUCAGUCUAAGAGAGAGCAGUGAAGACUGUAAUCAUUCUUAGGCGACAUUUACUCUCAAUAAUCUACCAUUAAUCUAGUUUAUGAAAAGAUCAUUACUUAGAAAAAACAUUUUUUAUAAAAAAAACUCUGUUUUAUUCUUGAGUGACGGUGACUCGAUGGUUGUCCUGCAUAUUGACCAGAGUGGGAGGAGUUAAGACCAGACUGGUGGUAACCACCUCUCUCCCAGCAGCGUAUCACUUCUCUCUUUAGAAAAAAACAUUUGUUUGGCAGUUUUCAGCUCAAACUGGUCGACCGUGUUUGUGUAUGUGUUGCUUUGCCACGUCUAAUCUGUGUGUAUCACCAAAAUGGGGCAGAGGGUGAGUUUACCUGCUGGUAAGUACACUCCUGGGUGGGCAUUCAGGUGAACGUGGGACAUGGUCAGACAGUAUCGGUACUCAACGAUACCACUUUUUAUUACUUUUGUGUGGUAGUAAAUAUUAAAUAAUAUAAUCUCAAAAUAUUCCAGUUAUUACCAUAUUUAUUUCUCAUAUCAAUAAUAAUAAUAAUGAUAAUAAUAACAAACAACUUUAAUAAAUAUAUCAAACCAACAUCUGUUUGUAUUGUA